rnacentral:rRNA from 1 species
GAUGAACGCUGGCGGCGUGCCUAAUACAUGCAAGUCGAGCGAACGGACGAGAAGCUUGCUUCUCUGAUGUUAGCGGCGGACGGGUGAGUAACACGUGGAUAACCUACCUAUAAGACUGGGAUAACUUCGGGAAACCGGAGCUAAUACCGGAUAAUAUUUUGAACCGCAUGGUUCAAAAGUGAAAGACGGUCUUGCUGUCACUUAUAGAUGGAUCCGCGCUGCAUUAGCUAGUUGGUAAGGUAACGGCUUACCAAGGCAACGAUGCAUAGCCGACCUGAGAGGGUGAUCGGCCACACUGGAACUGAGACACGGUCCAGACUCCUACGGGAGGCAGCAGUAGGGAAUCUUCCGCAAUGGGCGAAAGCCUGACGGAGCAACGCCGCGUGAGUGAUGAAGGUCUUCGGAUCGUAAAACUCUGUUAUUAGGGAAGAACAUAUGUGUAAGUAACUGUGCACAUCUUGACGGUACCUAAUCAGAAAGCCACGGCUAACUACGUGCCAGCAGCCGCGGUAAUACGUAGGUGGCAAGCGUUAUCCGGAAUUAUUGGGCGUAAAGCGCGCGUAGGCGGUUUUUUAGUCUGAUGUGAAAGCCCACGGCUCAACCGUGGAGGGUCAUUGGAAACUGGAAAACUUGAGUGCAGAAGAGGAAAGUGGAAUUCCAUGUGUAGCGGUGAAAUGCGCAGAGAUAUGGAGGAACACCAGUGGCGAAGGCGACUUUCUGGUCUGUAACUGACGCUGAUGUGCGAAAGCGUGGGGAUCAAACAGGAUUAGAUACCCUGGUAGUCCACGCCGUAAACGAUGAGUGCUAAGUGUUAGGGGGUUUCCGCCCCUUAGUGCUGCAGCUAACGCAUUAAGCACUCCGCCUGGGGAGUACGACCGCAAGGUUGAAACUCAAAGGAAUUGACGGGGACCCGCACAAGCGGUGGAGCAUGUGGUUUAAUUCGAAGCAACGCGAAGAACCUUACCAAAUCUUGACAUCCUUUGACAACUCUAGAGAUAGAGCCUUCCCCUUCGGGGGACAAAGUGACAGGUGGUGCAUGGUUGUCGUCAGCUCGUGUCGUGAGAUGUUGGGUUAAGUCCCGCAACGAGCGCAACCCUUAAGCUUAGUUGCCAUCAUUAAGUUGGGCACUCUAAGUUGACUGCCGGUGACAAACCGGAGGAAGGUGGGGAUGACGUCAAAUCAUCAUGCCCCUUAUGAUUUGGGCUACACACGUGCUACAAUGGACAAUACAAAGGGCAGCGAAACCGCGAGGUCAAGCAAAUCCCAUAAAGUUGUUCUCAGUUCGGAUUGUAGUCUGCAACUCGACUACAUGAAGCUGGAAUCGUCUACGUAAUCGUAGAUCAGCAUGCUACGGUGAAUACGUUCCCGGGUCU